UAUGAAGGAGUAGUAUAGGAAGUAGCGGUUCUGGACCCUUUUUUCGGCCCGCGAUCCCACCCCACUUCCGGUCAGCGGUUUCCCAAAUUUUCCCUCAAAAACGCGGGCUCAUAUUUUUCUAGACCAUUUUUCUAUUAUUUUUGGUAUUAUUUUUUCUAUUAUUUUUCAGCAUUAUUAUUUCUAUUAUUUUUGGCAUUAUUAUUUACAAGAAUUCUCAUCAAAUGUUCUAGACCACUUUUUCAAGACUAAUUUUUU